UACGUAGGGUGCGAGCGUUUAAUCGGAAUUACUGGGCGUAAAGCGUGCGCAGGCGGUUCGUUAAGUCAGCUGUGAAAGCCCCGGGCUCAACCUGGGAAUUGCGGUUGAAACUGGCGAACUAGAAUCUGGCAGAGGGGGGUGGAAUUCCACGUGUAGCAGUGAAAUGCGUAGAGAUGUGGAGGAACACCGAUGGCGAAGGCAGCCCCCUGGGCUGAGAUUGACGCUGAGGCACGAAAGCGUGGGGAGCGAACGGG
rnacentral:rRNA from 1 species